rnacentral:misc_RNA from 1 species
GAUGAAGAACGCAGCGAAAUGCGAUAAGUAAUGUGAAUUGCAGAAUUCAGUGAAUCAUCGAAUCUUUGAACGCACAUUGCGCCCGCUAGUAUUCUGGCGGGCAUGCCGGUCCGAGCGUCAUUUCAACCCUCAAGCCCCCGGGCUUGGUGUUGGGGAUCGGCGAGCCUCCGCGCCCGCCGUCCCCUAAAUCUAGUGGCGGUCUCGCUGUAGCUUCCUCUGCGUAGUAGCACACCUCGCACUGGGAAACAGCGCGGCCACGCCGUUAAACCCCCAACUUCUGAACGUUUGACCUCGGAUCAGGUAGGAAUACCCGCUGAACUUAAGCAUAUCAAUAAGCGGAGGA